AGAUUGCCAAGGCCAUCUCAGGGACUGAGGAGUGAAGAGAAGACCUACAGACCUUGAGUUGGGUCUUCUUACAAAGUGGCUCAGGCUGCCCUUCAACACAUUUUGUAGUCCAGGCCAAGAUCCAUGGGGGUUGGGACCAAAAUCAAGAACCUGGAAGCCCAGAUCGCAUCAGUGCAACCGGCCUAUCAGAGAUUGCCCAGGUCAGAGACAGUCAUGCUGAUUGCCUUGCCUGCCCCAGCGAAGGAUUACCUCUGUCUGUCCAUCACAGCCUUCUGCUUCUGCAUCCUGCUGGCGAUUCCAGCCCUGCUGUUCUCCCUUAAGACCCGGGAAGCCAACUCUGUUGGAGAUUGGAGGCGAGCCCAGAGGAACUCCACGCUGGCCUUGGGCUUCGGUGUCUCCAGCAUCCUUGUGGGAUGCAUUUUGAUGGCCAGCUCUAUUAGAUUAAUUAGUCUUUGAAACAGAGGGUAUGACAACCCUCCUGAAGGCUCACCUCAUUCAGGGAGUUCCAAUCAUUCUUGGAGCCUCUGAUCUUGGACAUCAGCAGCUGCCUGUGCUGAGGGAACCCUCAGUUGGGCAACAAUGUUAAGAACAAUAAAGUUUUUGGGCUUUCUA
rnacentral:lncRNA from 1 species